GGCCACCGGUCGGGUCGACUCCCUGACAGGUACCUGCACCCUGCCCCGCCGCAGGGGGACACCACUCACUGCUCACGGGUGUGUGAGUCAGGGAAGAAGGAGGGGAAAGAAAGCCAGCCGGCGCCGAUCGGCGCCGGAGCUCCGGGGAGCCGCGCGCGCUACUGAGCAUGCUCGGCGCGGACGCGCAUGCUCUCUGGCUCCGCCGGCGUCCCAUCCGCCGCCCGGCUCCGGAGGUGUCCCUAGGUGGGAGGAGAUGGAAGAGUCACUCUCUCUCUCUCUCUCGGCACAGAGCAUGUUUCUCUAACAAUUAGAAGACUAUGGCAGACCAGCAAAAGUGAAUCUGUGUGUCCUUAUGAAACGUGAUCUGGUGUUAAGUCACUGUCUCACCACUACAGUGUCGCACGUCAGCAAUAAUGUCACCAAAUGAAGCUGCCUUAUUUGCAAUCCUGAGAAUAAAGGACAUCUAACAUCCCAAAGGGUCUCUUCGGAACCCCCCCAUCUCAUCCCUACUGCUCCUGCCUCUGAGUCUGGAGGCAUAGUGUAGAGGUUAAGAGCACUGACUGCUCUUCCAGAGAUCCUGAGUUCAAUUCCCAGCAACCAUAUGGUGGCUCACAACGUCUUCAUUUAAAAAACACAAAACAAAACAAAACAAAACAAAACAAAACAAACAAACCUGAGGUUCUAGGUGCCAGGGAGAUAGUUCAGUCCGUAAGGUUUGAUCCCCAGAGUCCAAACUUAAAAGGCAGACGUGAUACCAUAUGCUUGUAGUUGCAGCCGAGUCGAGACAGACAUGGGUGGAUUCCUGGAGCUCAGUGACCAGUCAGCCAGGUCUGCUCAGGGGCUCCAGGUCAGGGAGGGACCCUGCCUAAAGCAACCCAACAAAGUAGACAGUCUCCGAGGAAUAACACCCAUGGAUUUAUUCCUAUUGUUCAGUGUGGUUGUAUACCUAUUUUGUCACUGCAUAUCUAUUGGAGAAUAUAGUAUUCAUUUAUUACUUGCAUGUCUUACUGAGUAAGCAUGGUUCAUAUUCCUUCCCUGGACUGCCGCCGGAAAGUGCCAUACUGUGUGGCAUAAGAGACAGAAAUGGGACUGCAGUGCUUAAGAGUACCAGCUGCUCUUCCAGAAGACCUCAGUUCAAUUCCCAGCACCCACACGGUAGCUCCCAGCCAUCUGUGACUCUAGAUCCAGAGGCUCCAACACCCUCUUCUGGUAAGAGGGGCACAGAUAUACAUGCAGGCAAAACACCCGAACGAGAAGGACGCCAAAGCACGUGAAGCUGAAACACGCAACCUGCACGACUCUGCA
rnacentral:lncRNA from 1 species